ACGAACGCUGGCGGCAUGCCUAACACAUGCAAGUCGAACGAGACCUUCGGGUCUAGUGGCGCACGGGUGCGUAACGCGUGGGAACCUGCCCUUAGGUUCGGAAUAACUCCCCGAAAGGGGUGCUAAUACCGGAUAAUGUCUUCGGACCAAAGAUUUAUCGCCUUUGGAUGGGCCCGCGUUGGAUUAGCUAGUUGGUAGGGUAAAAGCCUACCAAGGCGACGAUCCAUAGCUGGUCUGAGAGGAUGAUCAGCCACACUGGGACUGAGACACGGCCCAGACUCCUACGGGAGGCAGCAGUGGGGAAUAUUGGACAAUGGGCGAAAGCCUGAUCCAGCAAUGCCGCGUGAGUGAUGAAGGCCUUAGGGUUGUAAAGCUCUUUUACCCGGGAUGAUAAUGACAGUACCGGGAGAAUGAGCUCCGGCUAACUCCGUG
rnacentral:rRNA from 1 species